UACGUAGGGGGCAAGCGUUGUCCGGAAUCAUUGGGCGUAAAGCGCGUGUAGACGGCCCAGUAAGUCCGCUCUGAAAGCCCGGGGGCUCAACCCCGGGAGGCGGGUGGAUACUGCUGGGCUCGAGUCCGGAAGAGGCGAGUGGAAUUCCCAGUGUAGAGGUGAAAUUCGUAGAUAUUGGGAAGAACACCAGUGGCGAAGGCGGCUCACUGGCCCGUAACGUGACGCUGAGGUGCGAAAGCGUGGGGAGCAAACAGG
rnacentral:rRNA from 1 species